GAUGAACGCUAGCGGCAGGCCUAAUACAUGCAAGUCGAACGAGAUUGAGGAGCUUGCUCCUCAUGAAAGUGGCGCACGGGUGCGUAACGCGUAUGCAAUCUACCUUAAUCAGGGGGAUAGCCCGGAGAAAUCCGGAUUAAUACCGCAUAACGUUAUUUUAUGGCAUCAUAGAAUAACCAAACAUUUAUGGGAUUAAGAUGAGCAUGCGUGACAUUAGUUAGUUGGUGAGGUAACGGCUCACCAAGACUACGAUGUCUAGGGGAUCUGAGAGGAUGACCCCCCACACUGGUACUGAGACACGGACCAGACUCCUACGGGAGGCAGCAGUAAGGAAUAUUGGUCAAUGGCGCAAGCCUGAACCAGCCAUGCCGCGUGCAGGAAGACGGCCCUAUGGGUUGUAAACUGCUUUUAUUCGGGAAUAAACCUCUUUACUGUAAGAGCUGAAUGUACCGAAGGAAUAAGGAUCGGCUAACUCCGUGCCAGCG
rnacentral:rRNA from 1 species